CUUUGAGAAAUAUUGGCAUCACUAAUUGUGACAUUGAGUCAACGCCAUAAGGGUAUGGCACUAUUGAGCCGACAUACAUUUUUUCUAUAGGACGUUUUCUGGUGAUUAGGAUUGAGCCGUCCCGGUUGUGAGCUGGUGCAAGCAGAAUAUUGGAUUCCACAGAGCUCUCUGAAGCAAAUGGCCAAUCAGAGUCUGUGCUUCAGUCUCUAAGAGCUUCAAGCCCCGCCUCUUCAGGUGAAGACAUGAAGACAGAACCUGUGAUGGACAGCGCAGAUUACACAGGGCUGGAGCUCAGAUCCUGUCUGAUUAAAAGUGAAGACGCAGAGGAGAGUAUAGAGGGGAAGAAUGGAUGUGGGAUGAGCAGGGAGGAAGAACUCAUUCUCUCCAACAUAAAGGAAGAGGAGGAGGAAGGUGGGGAGAGGCGGAGGGAGGAGGUGAAGACGAAGGAUGGUGUGAAAGAUGAAGAGCUUGCGGGAUAUGAAUGGAAAGAAGAAGAGAGGAAUGGAGAUGAAAUGAUACAAAAUAGAGUGCUGAAACAAGAUGAACGACCAGACUGCAAGGAACAAGAAGAUGAGGGCUUGUCCCCGAAAGUCACUUCCUGUCUGUUCACACAGCCGAGAGUGCCCUCUCCCAGAUCUCCUGUCAUCUCCUCCAGUAAAGGUAAUGCAGGGCGGUCUGGGGUGUUUGGCUGCUCCCAGUGCCCAUUCACUCACCUGGAAGAAGUGAAGCUUCACCAGCACGUUGAGAAGGUGCACCCAGAGGAGCACAGCAGGAUUCUGAGAUCUGGAGGAAACAGAGCAGAGAAGCCACUGCUUCCCAGCAGCACACAUCAGCACCCCACACCCCCUAAAACACUCCCCACCCCAACACAGGCCCACACAGGCACUGCAGGGGCCCACACCUGCUCCCACUGUGGGAAGAGCUUCAGGCGUAAGUCAAUCUUGACUGCACAUGAGCGAAUUCAUACAGGAGAGCGCCCCUACCACUGUUCCCAGUGUGGAAAGAGCUUCAGGUCUGUAUCGCAUGUGAGAGCUCAUGAACGAAUUCACACAGGGGAAUGUCCCUUUCAGUGUUCAAAGUGCGGUAGGAGCUUCGGUGACUCGAGCAGUCUUGCACUCCAGCGGACUCGUACAGGGGAGCACCCUUUACGCUGCACCCAGUGUGGGAAGGGCUUCAGAUCAGAAUUAGACCUGAAAGUCCACGAGUGUGUUCAUACAGAAGAGCGCCUAUACCACUGCUCCCAGUGUUGGAAGGGCUUCAGGUCUGCAUCACAGGUGAGUGGCCACGCUCAAAUUCAUACCCCAGAACUUCCUUACAACUGCUCUCAUUGUUGGAAGCGCUUCAGAACCAAAUCAAACCUGACGACACACGAGCGAGUUCACACAGGGGAAUGUCCCUAUCAGUGUUCAGAGUGCGGUAGGAGCUUCAGUCACUCGGGCAGUCUUGCGGUACACCUGCUGACUCACACAGGAGAGCGCCCUUACCACUGCGCCCAGUGUGGGAAGCGCUUCAGAGCUAAAUCAAAACUGAUAAUGCAUGAGCGAAUUCAUACAGGAGAGUUCCCAUACCAGUGCUCCCAGUGUGGGAAAAGCUUCAGGCAGUCAGGUAAUCUGAAAAUACACCAGCGGACUCAUACUGGAGUUACGCCAUACCGCUGCCCCCAGUGCGGGAAGAACUUCAGUGCACGAUUACGCCUGAAAACGCAUGAGCAUGCGCAUAGAGGAGAGUACCUGUACCACUGCUCUUACUGUAGGAAGGGCUUCAGAUCAAAAUCCUGCCUGACGGUACACCAGCGAACUCAUACCGGACAGCGCCCAUUCCACUGCUCCCAGUGUGGGAAGAGCUUCAGUCAGUCUGGUUCUCUGAAAGUACACCAGCGCAUUCAUACAGAAGAGGGCCCAUACCGCAGAUUCCAUUACCCAUUCUGCUGCUUCCAGUGCGGGAUAGGCUUCACUGAGUCUUCCACUUUGAUUGAGCACCAGCAAAACUGUACAGAAGAGUUCCCACCCCUCAGCUCCUAGAAUGGAAAGGGCUUCACUCAAUCCAGCCAGCUGAUGACGCAUCAGUGAUAUUGCAUAGGAGAGCUCAGUCAUAAAGCUGAUGACCCAUCAGUGAUAUUGCAUAGGAGAGCUCAGUCCAGCCAGCUGAUGACCCAUCAGUGAUAUUGCAUAGGGGAGCUCAGUCACACCACUCAAGACCCAUCUGCAGGGGCAUUACCUUGCUAUCAGUUCAGUUAGUUGGAGUUAGCCAGUCAGUCAGAACUGAGGUUUGUUUAAAGACACAAUCACUAACAGCCGGUUCUAUACAUAGCUGUUGGUAAAGCUCAUGAGAGGUGCUGGAGAAUGGGAAUGUAAAAUUAAGGAUUGCGUAGGUAACCCAGGUUCUAUGAAUGAAGGUCAACAAAAAGGUCAAGCCUCGCAGAGGUUUGGCUGUUUGGAGAAAUGAACCACUCCCCCCACCUGCGUGGAAUCAUACCCAACAAAUACAGGUGAGAGUCCGCCAGGGCAAGGCCAAGGGAGUCCAGGGCCACCCUUCUCGGGAACAAAUCACACCCUGACCUGAGACCGCUUGUCUGGUCUGGCCAGGAGACGCCAGGGGAAUACAAGCAGCUCUGCCAGCCAGGACUGAUGGGGCCAGUCUGGGGCCACCAGCAGCACCCUGGCCCGCACCACUGGCAGAAGAGGGAAGGGAGGGAGCGUAGGGAAGGGCCCGGGGCCACAUGUACGCAAGGGCAUCCACCCCCAACGUCCCUCUGGGACUCACCACUGAAUACCACCAGGAAUAAAGUGUGGUUUUGUGAGAGGCGAAGAGGGCCGCCUGAGCCUCCCCUGGAACAGGCCCAGAUGGCCAGCACAAUGUCUGGGUGGAACCACUAUUCCCCUGGAAGGGGACCUUCCCUGGACAGUAGAUCAGCUGCCACAUCGUCCUUCCCUGGCAGAUACAUCGCACUCAGUGACUCCCUGUGAGCAUGUGCCCACAGAAGAAGCUUGCAUGCCCUGCUGUGAAGCGACGGAGUGCAUCCCACCUUGGUGGUUGAUGUACGAAACCACCAUGGGAUUUGUCUGUCCGGAUGACAGACGGGCUUCUCUUGGGUCUUUGGCAGGAACUACUCCAAAAGUUUGAAACACCGCCUCCAACUCCAGCAGGUUUGCAUGAACUCCUCUCCAGGAGGGUCUCCACAGGUCUCAGACUAGCGCUCUGCCCCGUCCCUUGGGACGGUAGGAACAAUACCCGGAAACCGCAGAGGUUUGCUUUUGGAUUUGAGCCUCUACCCAGAUUCCAGGGUGCUGAGUGCCCAUGGAGACUGGGUAAACUGAAGCCAAUGAAACGGGUGUUGAGGCGUCAAGCAUAAAGCCAGACAACCGUCAGCGACGGCCUUUUGCUGCGAAAAGAGAUCCCAAACCGCCCCGCCUAAAACCGGCCAGGGCCCAAGGCCAGAGGUUCGCUGUGAGCCCAAAGGGACCGGGCCCUGUGCAACUACACGGCCCCAGCAGUACCGCCCUGAAGGUUUGGCUAUAGGCAUGGCUAGUGCCAACUGCACCGAACACAUCAGCUCCCUGGUCCCACAAUACUGCUCCAAAGCUGCCUCCGAUAGGGACCACUGGACCUGGGACUGCAUUAACGUCCUGCACAGCCAGAUUAGAUUGGGCCAGCCUGGACUUAGACUUCCCAGGAGCCUGGGCAUGCGUACUAGCCCCCUCGAUCCACAAAUGCACCCUUUCCUGGCACUAGGAGUAGUGGAGGACAGGUCCUGGAACAAGCCCUCCAAAUACUCCAGCAAGAUGGAUCUGGAGCAGGCAAGCCUCACUGCUAUAGCAGAGGACUGAUAGGCCUUACGCAACUGAUUAUCAGUUGCCAUGCAACGCCUGACAGGGUGGAUCACAUCGUAACCAGCUUUCACAAUUGCUCCUGCCAGCAGGACCUGAGGAGCUGUAGUGAUCCCAUCGGUCUCUCCAGGUCGGCCAGCUCGGACCGUGGGAGGUUAGCACGCUCACCCUGACGCACUAACCUUCCUGAGGGGAGAGGCGCCUCUCAGUAAAACCCGGGAGAAGAGGUUAUACUCGACAAUUCUAGCUCUCAAGAAGAGAAACCAAGACAUACCGCAAAACGGAGCUAACUUUUCUUCUAAACGAUUCAACAAAGUGGUCCCGAAGAGCACACUGUCUCGCAGGCCACUCGGGAGGAAAAAAAGAGAAUGAGCUGGCGGACUCUCACCUGAAUUUGUAAGGUAUGAUUCCACGCAGGUGGGGGGAGUGGUUAAUUUGUUACUCUUGUCUACUAACUGCUCAACCUCAGCAAGGCUUGACCUAUAUGAUGACGUGUUGACCGAUACGAAAUACAACUGGCUUGAGAUUGUUUUUGGUACUACAACAAAGCCUUCUUAUGUAUAAUAGGACCUAAAAUAAAACAAUUGAAAAUAAAAAAUAUGGGACCUUUAAGAUGGCCACAGGAAAAAGGUGGGUUGUGUUGUAGUUUGUUCUGGAGCCUUGAAGAAGGAUUUUACUUUUUGUGUUUGUGGUGGUUCCUUGGUUAUGUGCAUUUUGCUUGUUUCCAGUUUUUCCUGUUGUGCUGAACAUGGACAUGGUCCAUUAUCUUCUGUUUUGAAAGUAGUAAUCCUACAUUCAAUAAAAAAGUAUGAUUUAAA